AACGAAGAUACAGCAAAAGCAGCUGCGGCAUUCCGCCACCUCGCAGUUCCCCACCCGACCUUCCCACCAACCAACCAGCUCUUCCAGCCUCCGCAGGCCACCGCUCCGCCCCCCUUCCGCUGCAGUUGCACCGUAGCCGGUCCGUCGCCGUCAAGCGACCACGCCAAUCACAAACCGUGAUCGCCACCCACCCUCCGGCCUCCGCGGGCGGGACCCGCCGACCAAUGGGCACCCCCUGCCCCAACCUCACCGCUCUCGCGAUUCGCCGCAGCGGCGGCCGCCUGUUCGAGCGGUAGGGAUUUCCCUCGUCGUCGUGGGCGCGGGAGACCUGGUGUCGCUGGCGCGAGGCGAGGGGAGGCGAGGCCGCGAGGGGGCAGCGAUGAUGUUCGGGUCGGGGAUGAAUCUCCUCAGCGCGGCGCUCGGCUUCGGCAUGACCGCCGCCUUCGUCGCGUUCGUCUGCGCGCGGUUCAUCUGCUGCCGCGCCCGGGACGCGGACGACGGCGCCCCAUCGCCGGUGGACUUUGACGUUGACUUCCCAGCAGAUCUCGAACGCCCGGUAGAGGAUGCUAAUUGUGGGUUGGAACCUUUGGUUAUUGCUGCAAUUCCUAUUAUGAAGUACUCUGAGGCUUUAUAUUCAAAGGAUGAUGCCCAGUGCUCCAUAUGUCUAGGUGAAUACACUGAGAAAGAGCUUCUAAGAAUCAUUCCGACAUGUCAACAUAACUUUCACCGUACCUGCUUAGACUUAUGGUUGCAGAAGCAGACUACUUGCCCAAUAUGCCGGGUCUCGUUGAAAGAGUUGCCUAGCGGCAAAGCUGCCAUAGCACCUUCAUGUAGCAACCCUCAAGUGCGCCCCCGCACUGAGAACUCUGUUAAUCCAGCACCUGACUGGCUCCUCCCUGUUCAUCAUUCUCACAGAGGUCAACAGAAUAGUUCAGACACACAAGCAUCAGUAGAAGUGGUUAUUGAGAUACGCCAAUAAGCACAUCAUGAGAUUGCUAUGAAAGAGAACAAAGCGGGAAUAUGUAAUAGGUUUCCUGCCUCGCUGCAUUGUUGCAGCAUCCUAAUUGGAUCGACAUUGUAUGCAAUCUCGUCGCAGGAAAUGUCAGUGCGGCGGCGGCAGAGGCAGAACCAACCUUCUUGUUCGUGGUGUCCGUGUUGUCAUCCAUGCCGCCAGUGAAGAGGUUAAGGAAGUAGUCGAGUAGUGGGUGUAACCGAACAAUAACAAGCAGUUGCAUCGAGACGUUCUCAAAUACCUUAUGGCCCCUUCUCCCGGCGCAUGCUCAGAGCAUCUCCAAUAGUGUAUCUAUAUGGAUGUCUAUACUCGUUUUUCACGAUAUGAGCCCAAAACAAGCGUU